rnacentral:tRNA from 1 species
GAAGGUAGAGCUCAGUGGUAGAGCGUGUGCUUAGCAUGCAGGAGAUCCUGGGUUCAAUCCCCAGCACCUCCA